UACGUAGGGUGCAAGCGUUGUCCGGAAUUAUUGGGCGUAAAGAGCUCGUAGGCGGUUUGUCGCGUCUGCUGUGAAAACCCGAGGCUCAACCUCGGGCCUGCAGUGGGUACGGGCAGACUAGAGUGGCGGUAGGGGAGAUUGGAAUUCCUGGUGUAGCGGUGGAAUGCGCAGAUAUCAGGAGGAACACCAAGUGGCGAAGGCAGAUCUCUGGGCCGUAACUGACGCUGAGGAGCGAAAGCAUGGGGAGCGAAACAGG
rnacentral:rRNA from 1 species